rnacentral:rRNA from 1 species
UACGUAGGGUGCAAGCGUUGUCCGGAAUUAUUGGGCGUAAAGAGCUCGUAGGCGGUUCGUCACGUCGGCUGUGAAAUCCCGAGGCUCAACCUCGGGUCUGCAGUCGAUACGGGCGGACUUGAGUACUGCAGGGGAGACUGAAAUUCCUGGUGUAGCGGUGAAAUGCGCAGAUAUCAGGAGGAACACCGGUGGCGAAGGCGGGUCUCUGGGCAGUAACUGACGCUGAGGAGCGAAAGCGUGGGGAGCGAACAGG